UAGGGAAUCUUCCACAAUGGGCGAAAGCCUGAUGGAGCAACGCCGCGUGUGUGAUGAAGGCUUUCGGGUCGUAAAGCACUGUUGUAUGGGAAGAACAGCUAGAAUAGGAAAUGAUUUUAGUUUGACGGUACCAUACCAGAAAGGGACGGCUAAAUACGUGCCGG
rnacentral:rRNA from 1 species